UACGGGGGGGGCAAGCGUUGUUCGGAAUUACUGGGCGUAAAGGGCUCGUAGGCGGCCAACUAAGUCAGACGUGAAAUCCCUCGGCUUAACCGGGGAACUGCAUCUGAUACUGGAUGGCUUGAGUUCGGGAGAGGGAUGCGGAAUUCCAGGUGUAGCGGUGAAAUGCGCAGAUAUCAGGAGGAACACCGGUGGCGAAGGCGGGUCUCUGGGCCGAUACUGACGCUGAGGGACGAAAGCUAGGGGAGCGAAAGGG
rnacentral:rRNA from 1 species